UUAAUCUAGUUUAAUUAGAAUUCUAAGUUGUGGUCUUAGGGGAGGGUAAAAUAGUACUCGGUUAGCU